rnacentral:lncRNA from 1 species
UUUACCUGUUGUACGUAGAAGGAAACCAAAUUAGAGAGAGAUCAAGCAGUUUGCUCAAGCUUACACAGCUAGUAGGGGACACCAGUGGGGCUUGUAACCCCUCAGAUUUCAGAGAAUGGGCUUUUUGCUGCAAUAUUGCUACGCUUUUCUAAAGACUUUGUGAAACAUCAUUCAAGCAUGAGCUGAGUCAUGAAUGAUGGUCAAUGGAGAUAUUUUAAAGAUGGAGAAGUUAAAAUUUGCAGCAUGCACUGGUUAAGCAAUGGCCUGAUGUCUAGAUGGGAUGUAGAGCAGCGAGAAUGACACUUUGGGGAUUAGAGCCCG